ensembl:snRNA U6 U6 spliceosomal RNA
GUGCUCACUUCGGCAGCACAUGUACUACAAUUGGAACAAUACAGAGAAGAUUAGCAUGGCCCCUGCGCAAGGAUGAGAUGCAAAUUCAUGAAGCGGUCCAUACUAAA